UACGGAGGAUGCGAGCGUUAUCCGGAUUUAUUGGGUUUAAAGGGUGCGCAGGCGGAGGCACAGGUCAGCGGUAAAAUCGCGGGGCUCAACCCCGCUCCGCCGUUGAAACUGUGUCCCUUGAGUGCGCGAAGGGUAGGCGGAAUGCGUGGUGUAGCGGUGAAAUGCAUAGAUAUCACGCAGAACUCCGAUCGCGAAGGCAGCCUACCGGCGCGCAACUGACGCUCAUGCACGAAAGCGUGGGUAUCGAACAGG
rnacentral:rRNA from 1 species